CGGAGCUGCCUGGCGGCGCCUCAGGCGGACGCUCGGCUGUCCCCGGCGCUUCAAGGGCCCGACGGGAGGAGGCGACGCUCGCAUCGCGGAGGAGCCCGGCCGCGCACAGGUAUUCAAGACGAUUCAGCAGUCUCAACGUGGAUCAGCUCAGAUCCUGACAGUUAAGCGUGAUAGCGGGGGACACUGUCUUCGUACCUGGAGCGCCGGAAGAACCCGCACUGCGCACAGAAGGAGAGCAACAAUUCAGCUCCGAGUUGCUGCCAAAGUACUACAACUCUAGAGGCAGUAAAUUCUUCCUUCACACAAAUAUGCAGUUCAGCUCUACUGACCUCCAGAGUGUGCUGCAGUGGCUACAGUUUUUAUCCAUACUUUGCAAGAAAGGCAACAGGAGGAAGCAGCAUGUGUGCAGAGAAUAGUAAACUAUGGGAGAAGACAUUUCACAUGAACAAAUGAAUGAGGUGAUCCUGUUCUCAUUAAAGCAUCAAAAGGUUGUUUAAAAUAGCUGUCAGAGACAAAAGAGGGAAAAAGAUACGAUGAAGCAGGACCUGUGAAAUAGGAUCUCUGUGUUCAGUUCAGCUAAAGGAUACUGAAGCGCCAGGACGAUUUGCUCUUCUUCCAAGAAGUUACUUGGCAAUAGCAUAUUUAUGGACUAUGAACACUUAAAACAGAAGAAGCAUUCUGUAAAGUAUUCAAGCAGUAUUCUAGGGAGUAAUGAAGUUUCAUUCCCACCCUGCAAACUGGACACAGUGACCCUCAAAAUCAAACAAAAAAAAAACAAAGAAACCCAACAACAACCAACCAAACAUUUUUAAGAAGGAAGUGAAACAGUAGUAAUGAAAGAGAAAACAAAGAAACUAAUUGUUUUGCAAGCACCAGAUUUUUUUUUAAACCCAGAUCUAUACAUCUUUUCUUUCUGCACAUAUUACUGGUGCCAAUGGAUGGCCAGAGAAAUAAAAAUAUCUGUUAAUAACAAGAAUUCCUAAUCUUUCCUGUCAGCAAUGCAAUCUUUGAAGGGCCCUGCGACUUUGCUGUAUACCCAACACCCCAGUGAUAGCAAUGGAAAGCAAGAUGGAUAAUAGCCCUGUCGUUCCUGUAAUUUUGUUCAAGAAUGAUUAUAAUAGUAAAGGUUAUUUCAUUACCUGUGCUGGUUUCGUAUUUAUUCCAUUCUUGGAUCCAUGAUAAAUGUAUACUUUGCCAAAACCAUCGUACGGAGCCCCUACUGCAAUAUCUGGUGAAAAUAAAUUGCAACAUCUAAAAUCAUUCUUGCUCUUUCUGCAGCAUGCAAUCAAAGGGUAAGAUGUUACAAUCUGGCAUUGGCAAAACGAUCUCACACAUUUUUAUUGUCAUUGUUUUCCAUUUACCUGGGUAUCCGUCCUGAUUAAUGUCCCCAACAUUUUCUACUGCAAGUCCAAACAUGGAGUCAGUGGUUCCGUUUAGGCGAAGAGGCUUCACCCCUGCCCAUUUGCCCUGGCGGUUCAUGUAGAUGUACACGGCACCCCCGAUGUCCCCACUUCUGUCAAAGUACUGCGGGGCCCCGACAACGAUGUCCUGCCAGCUUGGGAUGAAAAGGGAAAAGAAAAGGCAAUGCUUUUGUAGGAGAACUCUGAAGAAUAACUGCUAAGACUGUGAGCUCAAGAUCAGCUGCCCAGAGAGCUGCUGAACAAAGACUAAAAUGUGCUUUAAACUGUUGGGCAUCAACAGCCCCACUGACACUGCAAGCUGGUUUAUUCCCUUGAUGGCAUACAAGGACCUUCUAUGGUCUUCUUGAGGUAUGAGACUGGUUUCUUGUUUCUCUGUUUACAAUAAUUGUUUAAAUAAAACUCUUCAUUAGAAA